rnacentral:rRNA from 1 species
UACGUAGGGGGCUAGCGUUGCUCGGAAUCACUGGGCGUAAAGGGCGCGUAGGCGGCUUAUCAAGUCGGGGGUGAAAGCCCGUGGCUCAACCACGGAAUGGCCUUCGAUACUGGUAGGCUUGAGACCGGAAGAGGACAGCGGAACUGCGAGUGUAGAGGUGAAAUUCGUAGAUAUUCGCAAGAACACCAGUGGCGCAGGCGGCUGUCUGGUCCGGUUCUGACGCUGAGGCGCGAAAGCGUGGGGAGCAAACAGG